rnacentral:SRP_RNA from 1 species
GCUGGGUGUGGUGGCCCACACCUGUAAUUCCAGCUACUCAGGAGGCUGAGGCAGGAGAAUCACUUGAACCUGGGAGAUGAAGGCUGCAGUGAGCCAAGGUCACGCCACUGCACUCUAGCCUGGGUGACAGAGUAAGACUCUGUCUCGA